ACUCAAAUGAAUAGACGGGGGCCCGCACAAGCGGCGGAGCAUGCGGAUUAAUUCGAUGCAACGCGAAGAACCUUACCUGGGUUUGACAUGGGCGCUAAUCUCACAGAGAUGUGAGGUCCUUCGGGGGCGUUCACAGGUGGUGCAUGGCUGUCGUCAGCUCGUGUCGUGAGAUGUUGGGUUAAGUCCCGCAACGAGCGCAACCCUCGUUCGAUGUUGCCAGCGGGUUAUGCCGGGGACUCAUCGAAGACUGCCGGGGUCAACUCGGAGGAAGGUGGGGAUGACGUCAAGUCAUCAUGCCCCUGAUGUCCAGGGCUUCACGCAUGCUACAAUGGCCGGUACAAAGGGCUGCGAUACCGUGAGGUGGAGCGAAUCCCAAAAAGCCGGUCUCAGUUCGGAUCGGGGUCUGCAACUCGACCCCGUGAAGUCGGAGUCGCUAGUAAUCGCAGAUCAGCAACGCUGCGGUGAAUACGUUCCCGGGCCUUGCACACACCGCCCGU
rnacentral:rRNA from 1 species